AUAGCUUAAAGAAGAAAACACAGUUCAGAGACGUGGUGCAAGAACUCCACAGCAGGGUGAACCUGAGCAAAAGGAAACCAAGUACAAGAGGAAACAACUCCCAAGUUGAGGCAGCAAGUGAGGAUGGUAUCAUAACUACUGACGACAUCUAUCAAAAUGUCUGAGGUUGAUCUAAAAACUGCUUCAGGAGGAUAUUGCAAAGCUAUGAAACAUGUCUGACUCAAAAGGAAUGAUGAAUAAGUCAGUACACUGGUUGGUUUUUUUGCUCAAGCUUGCCAGUGAAAUGAGAGAAACAUUUUCUGCACAGUAAUGGUGCUAAGUAAGGGGGCUUAGUGGCUUAUCAUUGAUCAUCUUUCUGUGCAGCUUUCUGCUCCGAUCAACUAGUCCCUGCAAGUUUGUUUCUGAGUUGUAACUGGGGGAGUUUCUGCGUGACAGAAGGUGGACUAAAUGUGAAAUAUUAAUAUGGAUUAUUCUUAAUAAAAUAUUAAGUUCUAAAAAGGGCAUGCAUAUCUGAUCGCUGGUUUUAAAAAGCAUUAGGAAAACAUGAGGAAUGGAGUAGAGUAUAGCUCCUAAGAUGUAAUAAACACUGGUAGGGCUAAGAAGCCUUUUUGUAGAGCAAUUUCCAGAAGCCAAAAAAAAAAUUUUUAAAUAAAUUUUUUAAAGAUUCUUGCUCAAGACUGAAUUUCAAGGUAUUGAUUCAAACACCCAGAUUUCUUUUGAAGUCUCUUUUCUUUCUUUAUGAUCAUUUUGUGAGACUCUGAGUCUUAUUACCCACUAAAAAGAAAGAACACCCUGUUGCCAAAAGUAUUGGAUCAUUUGCCUUGAAACUUAUUAACACUGUUAUUCUCCUCAGCACCUAACUUUAAAGCUGACACAAUCCUGACAUAGACAGAGAUUAAGACUAAUUGAUCACCGCAGAGAAUAUGUCUCUACUGCUCCACAUUCUAGUGGUGUUAUGUUUUACUCUCUGAGGGGUCCUUUAGAUUAAGUUGUCCUAAAAUGAAGGACAAAUAAAGUUUGGAUAACUUCAGUUAUUGACUGUACCAACUAACCCUUCUCUAAUUCUACCAUUUAAUAAAUUAUCAUCCUCAAUAA